rnacentral:rRNA from 1 species
AUACGGAGGGGGUUAGCGUUGUUCGGAAUUACUGGGCGUAAAGCGCACGUAGGCGGACUGGAAAGUUGGGGGUGAAAUCCCGGGGCUCAACCCCGGAACUGCCUCCAAAACUUCCAAUCUAGAGAUCGAGAGAGGUGAGUGGAAUUCCAAGUGUAGAGGUGAAAUUCGUAGAUAUUCGGAGGAACACCAGUGGCGAAGGCGGCUCACUGGCUCGAUACUGACGCUCAGGUGCGAAAGCGUGGGGAGCAAACGGGAUUAGAAACCCGAGUAGUCC